GUAGGUGGCAAGCGUUGUCCGGAAUUAUUGGGCGUAAAGCGCGCGCAGGCGGUUCUUUAAGUCUGAUGUGAAAGCCCACGGCUCAACCGUGGAGGGUCAUUGGAAACUGGAGAACUUGAGUACAGAAGAGGAAAGCGGAAUUCCACGUGUAGCGGUGAAAUGCGUAGAGAUGUGGAGGAACACCAGUGGCGAAGGCGGCUUUUCUGGUCUGUAACUGACGCUGAGGCGCGAAAGCGUGGGGAGCAAACAGGGAUUAGAUACCCUGGUAGUCCACGCCGUAAACGAUGAGUGCUAAGUGUUAGGGGGUUUCCGCCCCCUUAGUGCUGCAGCUAACGCAUUAAGCACUCCGCCUGGGGAGUACGGCCGCAAGGCUA
rnacentral:rRNA from 1 species